UUCUUUGUAUGUUCUCUUUGUUUCUAUGUGGUUCACCGAGUUUGACUAUUUCCUGCUGCCUACUCAAAAAACAGCAGGCUUAGGGCAGAUUGAGCCAGAGUAGAGCAGAGGGAGAGGAAACCAGAGAUAAAACAGGCUAGCCUGCGCAGGAGCUUCCUGCUGGUUCUCCUGUGUCCUCCGCACAUCUUGCCAUCGGACCGCUGUGAUCAAGUGUGUGUCACUGCUUCUGGGUUUUGGACAUGUGUUCUAGGGAUGGAACUUAUCUCAUCAGGCUUGUACUGCAGGAACCAGCUCAACUUCUCCAUGUUCAAUGAGUUAUGAAAAUGUUGUCUUCAGCAAUAGGAGCAUUGGGAAGAGCUUGGGUUGUUUGGGGGUUUCCAUGGAGCCCCCUUAAUCAACAACUCGAUUAGACACAACCCAUGCCCAGCAGUGGGUUUUACUGAAGAGGGACCUAGUUGGAGCUUUGUCUCCCCUGUUAUUUGGUGACUUCAUUUAGGUUUUCAUCACAUAUGUAUAUAUUUUAGGAAGGUUCUAGUGUGAUAGGUUUCCAUACAACCCCUCAAAGGGCCUUUAGUUCUUGCUGUUCCUUACCCUCCUCAUCCCUCCCCAUACCUGUGUAAUCCUCUCAUCCCAGCACUCCCCCAUCCAUCCAUCCAUCCAUCCAUCCAUCCAGUCCUUUACUCACUACUAAUGUCUGUAGCUAUAGGAAUUGUAGCUUGCUUAGCAAUAACUUAUCAGCUAAUAUCCACAUGUAGGCAAAUACAUACCAUAUUUGCCUUAGGGGAUCUGGAUUACCCCACUCAGGAUAAUCUUUUUCUUGUUCCAUCCAUUUACCUGCAAAUUUCAUGAUUUCUCUUUUUAACAUCAGAAUAAUAUUCCAUUGCAUAAAUGCACUACAUUUUCUUUACUCACUCACCCACUGACAAACAUCUAGGUUAUUCCAAUUUCUGGCUAUCAAAGAUAGAGCAGCAGUGAACAUGGUUGAGGAAGCGUCUCAGUAGUGGGCUGUAGAGGCCUUUGGAUCUAUGCCUGACAGUAGUCGAGCUGGCUCUUGAGGUAGAUUGAUCCCCAUCUUUCUGAGGAACCACCACAUUGAUGUCCAAAGUUGCUGUGUGAGCUUGCACUCCCACCAGUGCAAGUGCGGUGGAGAAGUGUCCCCUUUACCCCACAUCCUCGCCAGCAUGGGCUGUCAUUUGAUUGACCUUGGCUAUUCUGACAGGUAUUAGAUGAACGCUCACAGUACUUUUGAUUUGCACCUUCCUGAUCACUAAGGCUGUUGAACAUUUUUUAAAGGGCUUCGCAGCCAUUCCAAGACCCCUCUUGCGGAGACUCUGCUUUCAUCGGUACCCUAUUUUUUAACUGUGUGAUUUGUUUUCGGGGAUCUCCAGUUUCCUUAGUCCUUUUCGUAGUUUAGAAUUAGCCCUCUAUCACAUAUGCAGUUGAUAAUCUUUUCUUGUUCUAUACCUUCCACUUUUCCCAGAUGAUGGUGCCCUUUGUCCUACGGAAGCUGUCAGAGCCAAGUUAUAUCUUAUGUUUUCAUUACUGUGCCUAAGAGAUUCAUGAAACCAAAUGCCUCUAACCUAUAGGCCCCUUGCCCAAGGACAGAUACUUCCUGAAAUGCUGGGGGUUAUUUUUUAUGAGUGAGAACAAGCCACAAGUUGUCACUCCCCUAAACAAGUUUGUUUGACCCAGCGACACCGGAUGUGCUUGAUCGCACAUAUUCAGGAAGGACAUAGGCAGAGGAUAUAUCAGGGUGUAUGCUUGCUCCUGUUGGGGAAUUUAGUGGCCUAGUGGAUUUAUAAGCCUCAGCAAAAUGUGACUCAGCACCAUUUUCUGGGAACGUGGGAAUGAACCUUGCCAGUAUUUCAUUAAAGCUUACUUCAAAUUUUGGCUCAAAAUUGUGGUAAUGGUCUUAUUCUUGCCCAGUAGGAUUAACAAAGCUUUUCAGUUUCAUGAGAUUCUAUUUGUUAAUUGUUCUUAUUGUCUGUGCUAUUAGUGUUCAGUUCAGAAAGUCUUUUCCUGUGCUGAUAAGUUCAAGACUAUUUCCCACUUUCUCUUCUAUCAGAUU